rnacentral:rRNA from 1 species
GACAGAGGGUGCAAACGUUGUUCGGAAUUACUGGGCGUAAAGCGUGCGCAGGCGGUUCGUUAAGUUCGUUGUGAAAGCCCCGGGCUCAACCUGGGAACUGCAAUGGAAACUGGCGGGCUUGAGUGUGGCAGAGGGGGGUGGAAUUCCGCGUGUAGCAGGUGAAAUGCGUAGAGAUGCGGAGGAACACCGAUGGCGAAGGCAGCCCCCUGGGCCAACACUGACGCUCAGGCACGAAAGCGUGGGGAGCAAACAGG